rnacentral:rRNA from 1 species
AGUGGGGAAUCUUGGACAAUGGGGGAAACCCUGAUCCAGCCAUGCCGCGUGAUCGAUGAAGGCCUUAGGGUUGUAAAGAUCUUUCAGCUGGGAAGAUAAUGACGGUACCAGCAGAAGAAGCCCCGGCUAACUCCGUGCCAGCAGCCGCGGUAAUACGGAGGGGGCUAGCGUUGUUCGGAAUUACUGGGCGUAAAGCGCACGUAGGCGGAUCAGUCAGUCAGGGGUGAAAUCCCGGGGCUCAACCCCGGAACUGCCUUUGAUACUGCUGGUCUUGAGGUCGAGAGAGGUGAGUGGAAUUCCGAGUGUAGAGGUGAAAUUCGUAGAUAUUCGGAGGAACACCAGUGGCGAAGGCGGCUCACUGGCUCGAUACUGACGCUGAGGUGCGAAAGCGUGGGGAGCAAA